AAGAAAAAUAGGAUUAUCUCCCAAAACUUUCCAUAAACCUUCUGUUUCUGUUCAAAGGCUGUGUCAAAGUAUUUGGCACAAAUUCAUCUGUCUUGCAUCUCUGUGUGUGUAUUUAAUAAUUAUUUAAAUGUAUUGUUAUUAUUUGUUUAAAGGGGUGGUUGAGAAAUACGUGAUGGGCUGAUAUUGGUCAGCUGGCUCAGUGUGUUGUGAUUCGCUAAACCGCCUCUAGAGCGCGUCUGAAUAUCCCCCCCCUCAAGCUCAAAAUGUGUUGCGGUUCCAUUGUAAACAAGGGCGUCGUCUAUAUUGCUUACUAAUUUGAGCCCGAUUGAGACGCAGAGAAUAUUAAGGAAGAGAAUUGUGCAGAACCUGUGCAAGCAAGGCUCUUAGUGCACAAAGGCCCUUGACCUGCAGCUGUGCAUGGUCAUGCGUGAGGCUGGAGAAGAAGACAGCAAUUACAGAGCUGGAAAACGAGUGCACUUGCCGCGUGCACCUCAGAUUUGUGUAACAGCAGUGGCUUCUCAGGGAGGCAUUAGCCCUGCUACAGUCGUCUCGUGGGGAGAUGACGACUGUUAAGAACCAGUUAACUCACUUCCUGGAGACCUGGGAAAACAGCAAAGCACUGAUGCAGCAGAGUUGCAUCAGUGCUGAUACAGAGUGUGCUUGUCUGAAGCAGGAAGUGGACAGGUUACAGAUGGACCUGAAGAGGCUGCAGGUGGAGGGGCCAAACCUGAGGUCAUGUCUUGAUGCUGCAAAAGAACAGAUGCUGCAGUUGGAGAACCGGUCCAGACCCAGAAACUACUGCAGAACCAAAACCAAGAAGCCCAGUUUCUCUUACAGUGUUUGUAUUCCCAGAGUUUAAAGGUGAAGUGUGUCAUUUUUGCUAUUAGCAGCAAACAGAAUUGCAUUAAUAAUAAUAAUAUAUUUUCAAUGCUCAGGAGGUCUCCCAUCCAAAUGCCCAGCAGUUUUUGUGUUCAUUUUCUCUGUCCUCCAUUGUUUGUCUGGCAGGUGUUUUGGAGUUGCAGUCUCACACCUUGUCAGUAUCCAGACAUUUUCAGUUCUUGUCUGCAUAUGUUUGUGUGGUGUUUAGUGUGUGUAUUGUGAUUUUUGUCUUAGGCAGGUUUUUAGGGUUAAACACAGCUUAAUGUUUAAAGCAAGAAACAUCACAAAUGAUUAACAAAUUAUUCAGUUAUUUAAAUNCUCAGAUUUGCAAAAGAUUUGCAAAAUUUUGAAAAGUUUGUGGUCUGUGCGAUUAUUAUUAUUAUUUUUUAAUAAUAUUAUUAUUUUUUUUCUUUGUAACAGUAAUAACAGUAAUAUUGUUAAAUUAGUAAUACUGUGAAAUAUCUUUACAAUUUAAAAUAAUUGUUCUGUUCUACUCAAAUAUAUUUAAAAAUAUAAUUUAUUCCUGUGAUGGCAAUGCUGAAUUUACAGUGGCCAUUAUAUGCUGGUGUCACAUGAUCCCUUCAGAACUCAUUCUAAUAUGCCAAGUUUGUGCUUAAGAAACAUUUCUUAUUAUUAUCCAUGUUGAAAUUUGUUCUGCUGCUUAAUAUUUUUAAGGUUUCUUAAAUAAAUAGAAAUAUUAAAAGAACA
ensembl:lncRNA